rnacentral:rRNA from 1 species
UUAUAGACUAAUCUUAAAAUUGGAUACUACUAACAAUAGUUUAAAACCCAAAGAAAUUGGCGGUGUCUUAUCACAUUAGGGGAACCUGUUUCAUAACUCGAUAAUCCACGAAAAUCUUACCUAAUUUUGAAUAACAGCCUGUGUACUGCCGUCGUCAGCUUACCUUUUUAAAGUGUUAGCAUAUAAUUAAUUAAUAUAUUACGUCAGGUCAAAGUGCAGCCUAUAAUUAGGAGAUAAUGGGUUACAAUCUUUAUUAAAGACACGGAAAGAAAACAAACAAAAAUUAUUCUUGAAGGUGGACUUAAAUGUAAUUUUAUAAAGAAAUGAAUAUGAAUCUAAGACAUGCACACAUCGCCCGUCACUCCUGCUGAAAAGCU